rnacentral:lncRNA from 1 species
UCACACUCAAGAAAUCAUCAAGAAAAUCUUACCUUUUAAUUAAAAAAAACAUUAAUAAAACCUCACCAUUUAUGUGGUACUUGAAAACUAAAUUAAGACCAUUUUAGCAAUGCUUCUACAACCUGCACCAAGAUGUGGCCGUUAAUUAUUUAUCGUGAAUAAAGUUGAAUUGUUUUAGGGAAGCCAUUGGCUCCGACUAUAGUUUUUAGUGUAUUUCCUAUAAUUCUUUUUGGUUUUAAACAAACCAUAUUUGCAUCAUAUGUCUAACUGUGUAAAAUUAGAAGAUUAAGAAAUACCCUUAAUAUAUUUGCAAUUUUCACUAUAAAUUUGGCAAAUAGUUGCGACUUAUAACAUGCAAUCUUAUCAAAUAAUGUCAUUUACACAAAUAGAGAAAAAUAGAAUGUAGCUUGCUAUAUGAUUUCUGGUUUAGAAUAUAGAUUUAGUUUAUUACCAUUCUAAGUCCACUAAUAUGUCAUUAAUGUAUCCAUGGCUAUAACACAAAACUUUUUGUACCAAUCUUGUUUACAAGCCAAAUCCUAUUCAGUACAGCCUGCAUAGANAAUGAAUGAUAGUGACUUUAAUUUUGACUUUAAAUUUUUUUGCAGAUUUAAUUGGAUUAGAUUAGAUUUUAUAGGUUAAUAACCAAAUUAAUGAUAUGCUUAUUUAAAGAGUUCUUAAAAAAACGGAUUUAAAUUUUGAAACCAAAAGCUAUAAAUAAGGGAGUUAAAUUAGAAACAAUAUUAAUUAUAGAAAUUGAUAUAUUCUAUAUAUAUAGAAUGAUAUAUUAUAAUUAAUAAUAUAAUUGUUGAAUUUAAAGAUUAUAUAAUUAAAUUUAAUUGUAUUUGAAUUCUAUUUAGAAAGACGAUGUCAUCAAUUUGAUCUAAUGGUGGAAAGCAUAUGAUUGAAAUAGAAUCAAGGGUCAUGAUUGCUUCAUUGGUGAUUAAGGGUUUUCUUUUAAUAAUAUUUAGAGCAAAAGUUUNUGUACCAAUCUUGUUUACAAGCCAAAUCCUAUUCAGUACAGCCUGCAUAGACCAUUAAAUCCCUUCAUAAUGAUUAAGUUUCAAUAUGUUCAUAAAAAUCAAAGUGACAAACUUGGCCCAACUUUUGGAACAUCACUCAUUUUGAUAAAUACCUACAGAUAUAGACAAAAUACCCAAAAAUACACACAUAUACAAACACUAAUGCAUUUAAAUACAUAGAAUUUUUCAUAGAAAAAUGCAUAGCAGCACCUAAAAAUACAUACCAAUACAUACAAAAACACAUAAAGUCCCUAAAAACAUACUUCAUCACUUAAACCUUGGAUCUUCAAGCCUUUCCUUCAGACCCAGACUAUUCAUCUGCAACUCAACUUAUUAAUCUGGGUCCCAGAAAAAUGACGGAAAUUGGCAUGUGUGUCACAAAUUUGGUGAAUCUUUGGUGUCUAGGGUUUUAGAAUAGCCGUGGGGACGAAGCAUAAGAUUAGACUCCAUUGCUUCGGUUGUGGCUAAGUAGUGGUGCAUGUAUAUGUGUUCGCAGAUCUGGUGAAGGAGGUGGAUGACGGAGAAGAUGGUAAGGUUGGUGGUGGAAGGUUUAACGCUGGAUGGUAGAUUCCGUGAUUGUUUUAUGCGUUCAUCUGGUAAUGUGGAUAAUGAUGUGUAAAGAGACAUAAGGAAGGGUAGAGCAAUGACACCUUUAAGCUUUAAUUCCUUUAAAAGGGGGCGCUGGAGAUGUGGUAUGACGAAGAACUAGAAUAAAUAGAGGGAGGCUGAGGUGUUGGCCGAAAGGGCAUCACCACUGGCAAGA